rnacentral:tRNA from 1 species
AGCCGUAGUGGCUGAGCGGAGAGGCGUAGGUCCGCAAGACCUUCUACAGCGGUUCGAAUCCGCUCGCGGCGC